rnacentral:rRNA from 1 species
UGGGGAAUUUUGGACAAUGGGCGAAAGCCUGAUACAGCAAUGCCGCGUGUGUGAAGAAGGCCUUCGGGUUGUAAAGCACUUUUGUCCGGAAAGAAAUCCUUGGCUCUAAUACAGUCGGGGGAUGACGGUACCGGAAGAAUAAGCACCGGCUAACUACGUGCCAGCAGCCGCGGUAAUACGUAGGGUGCAAGCGUUAAUCGGAGUUACUGGGCGUAAAGCGUGCGCAGGCGGUUUGCUAAGACCGAUGUGAAAUCCCCGGGCUCAACCUGGGAACUGCAUUGGUGACUGGCAGGCUAGAGUAUGGCAGAGGGGGGUAGAAUUCCACGUGUAGCAGUGAAAUGCGUAGAGAUGUGGAGGAAUACCGAUGGCGAAGGCAGCCCCCUGGGCCAAUACUGACGCUCAUGCACGAAAGCGUGGGGAGCAAACAGGAUUAGAUACCCUGGUAGUCCACGCCCUAAAACGAUGUCAACUAGUUGUUGGGGAUUCAUUUCCUUAGUAACGUAGCUAACGCGUGAAGUUGACCGCCUGGGGAGUACGGUCGCAAGAUUAAAACUCAAAGGAAUUGACGGGGUCAUAGCUGUUUCCU